GACGAACGCUGGCGGCGUGCUUAACACAUGCAAGUCGAACGGAAAGGCCUCUUUCGGGGGGUACUCGAGUGGCGAACGGGUGAGUAACACGUUAGUAACCUGCCCUUCUCUUUGGGAUAACUUCAGGAAACUGGGGCUAAUACCGGAUAGGAGCUCCUGCUGCAUGGUGGGGGUUGGAAAGUUUCGGCGGUUUGGGUUGGAGUCGCGGCUUAUCAGCUUGUUGUUGGGGUAAUGGCUUACCAAGGCUUUGACGGGUAGCCGGACAGGGUGGGUGACCGGCCACAGUGGGACUGAGAAGAGGCACAGACACGGACGGGAGGGAGCAGGGGGAAAGAGUGAAAAAGGGGUGGAAGCCUGAUGCUGAAACGCCGUGGGCGGGAGGACGGUGUUGGGGUUGGAGAACGAAUGCGCUCAUGACGAAGCUGUGUGUGACGGUAGUGGGUAAAGAAGCACCGGCUAACUACGUG
rnacentral:rRNA from 1 species